rnacentral:lncRNA from 1 species
GUCCAAAGAUUUGUGUUGGGCAAUUCAACCACCAAAAUUAUAUAGGAACUAGGUGUAAGCCUAAUUCCCUUUCAUCGACGCUUGAGUAACAUCCGGAGAUAAUGAAGAAGCAAUAAACUUCUGUUUUUUUGCAGCAUGAUUGCGAAAAAGAGAGGCAAUAUCUCCAUGCUUCUUCAUAUUUUAGUCACUAAAAAAAUAAUGGUAAUGAAUCAAUAAUUAAUAAGACAAAAAUCAACAACAAUAUAUAUCGCAAAAACGUGAGCUGCCUGCGUUCCGACCGAUCGAAUCGACCAGGCACACGAAUAAGCAGCUCAACGAUUUCUUUUUGUGGUGCCUGCCGCCUGCUACACCUGCUCCAGGUUUCAGAUUCUAGUCUGGAGGUGCGAGUAGAGGUCUAGAGGAAGACCAAUCCAAUCACCACCACCAAUGGCCUUCUGCUUCAAGAAAUGAAUAAGCAGCUGCUGAUUUGCGACCAAAAAAGAUUCCGUCAGUUCAGCGUUUAUGGAAGCGAGGCUGCCCUGCACCCGCCACACGCCGCUGCCGCCGCACCUCACGUAGCCGCCCUGCC